UCCGUGCCAGCAGCCGCGGUAAUACGGAGGGUGCGAGCGUUAAUCGGAAUUACUGGGCGUAAAGCGUGCGUAGGCGGUUCGUUAAGUCAGAUGUGAAAGCCCUGGGCUCAACCUGGGAACUGCAUUUGAAACUGGCGGACUAGAGUUUAGUAGAGGGGAGUGGAAUUUCAGGUGUAGCGGUGAAAUGCGUAGAUAUCUGAAGGAACACCAGUGGCGAAGGCGACUCCCUGGACUAGAACUGACGCUGAGGUACGAAAGCGUGGGUAGCAAACAGGAUUAGAUACCCUGGUAGUCCACGCCGUAAACGAUGUC
rnacentral:rRNA from 1 species